UACGGAGGGCGCAAGCGUUAUCCGGAUUCACUGGGUUUAAAGGGUGCGUAGGUGGAUUGGUAAGUCAGUGGUGAAAUCUCCGGGCUUAACCCGGAAACUGCCAUUGAUACUAUCAGUCUUGAAUACCGUGGAGGUCAGUAGAAUAUGUCAUGUAGCGGUGAAAUGCUUAGAUAUGACAUAGAAUACCAAUUGCGAAGGCAGCUGGCUACACGAAUAUUGACACUCAGGCACGAAAGCGUGGGGAUCAAACAGG
rnacentral:rRNA from 1 species